UGUGAUGUAUACGAGGUCUGUAAUGCAUUUUAAAUGGAGCUGUUAAUUCAGUGUUAUUGAAUGAUAUUUUGAGACUUGUGGUUUUAUAGCUUCCUUUAUCAAGUGUUGAAGAAAUCGAAGAUGCUUGAUAUGAUUGGCUUCGUAGAUCCUGCUAAUACUAGUGUCAUUGGCUGUGGAAAUCCAACUGAACGGGCUCGUUCUUUGUCAGUUUCUUAUGAAAGAGGGAAGCCUGGUCAGAUUUUUUUUGGUCCCCUAUAAUUCAGGCUGUCAUUGGAUGUUAACAGUAGUGAACCCCACUGAAGAAGUUGUAUAUUUCAUUGAUCCGCUAAAGAGGCGACUCAUCACCGGUGAAUGGAGAACUAUUGUGGACAAGUAAAUGCAGCUAGCUUGAUGGGUUUUUUGUUUAGUCCUCUUUUUUUUGGAGAUAUCGAUUCUCAAUUUAUAAGUUGUUAGUUUCAUCAUAAUUUUGUGUAUUGUGUUGUUGUUGAAGCUCCAUUAAAAUAUUCAAUACACAAAAACAUAGGAAAGGCCGAAAGACAGUUUAAUGGAAAAACUGUGCAGUAUGUGUUCCCCAUCUAGUUAACUAUUUAUAUUUGCAUUUUUCCAGUUCAGGCAAGGUUUAUUAGGUACUGAAAAUAUUUAUUUCUUUCAGGGCAUUCCGGAGCAGAUAGGUGAUAAGACUUGUGGAUAUUGGAUUAUGCAUUACAUGAGGGAUAUAGUGGAGGACAAAAACCAAGAGUGGAGUGCUAAGUGGGAAAGAAAAGCAAAUCACUAUUACACAAUGGAGAAGGUUGAUGUUGUCCGGGCAGAGUGGGCAAAGUAUGUUAUGAAGUUCAAAGAUAACUAGUGCAUGUGUAGGUUAACUAGUAGUUGAAGAUAUGUAGCAUCAACUUUUAGACAUGCAUAGUUGAUAUAUAUAUAGGCCAAAUUUUGAUUGCAGUACUGCUAGCUAUUUUGCUAUGUUGUUUAGUUGGUUGUCCACAUUGUGUAGUGCUUCUGGUUUAUUAGCAAGCAGUACUGCAUGCAUAUAUAUUGUUGGUUGCCCAGAUUAGUAGAUAUUGGCCAUUUAGAACUGAUGCUGAUGAUUAGGUUUGUGUACAUGAGACAAUGGUGGAUUAAUGGAAAUUGCAAUAUGAUUUUGGAUGUGGAUUUUAUGAUUUCAGGAAUAGCCAAUUUUAAUUUCCAUAAUGCAUGCAUACCAAUUGUACAGGGGACUACUAAAAUGUGUCGUCACAAACUGCAAGCUACAACAAAAGCACACCAAAACGUGUGGUUGCAGCUGCAUAGACACAACACAAAAACCAAUAAGAAGUCUAUUGUCUUUUUGACAAUGGGACAACAGAAAAUUGUAGUCUGAAAGGCA